rnacentral:rRNA from 1 species
AGAACGAACGCUGGCGGCAUGCCUAACACAUGCAAGUCGAACGAUCUCUUCGGAGAUAGUGGCGCACGGGUGCGUAACGCGUGGGAAUCUGCCCUUGGGUUCGGAAUAACAGUUGGAAACGACUGCUAAUACCGGAUGAUGACGUUAAGUCCAAAGAUUUAUCGCCCAGGGAUGAGCCCGCGUAGGAUUAGCUAGUUGGUGAGGUAAAGGCUCACCAAGGCGACGAUCCUUAGCUGGUCUGAGAGGAUGAUCAGCCACACUGGGACUGAGACACGGCCCAGACUCCUACGGGAGGCAGCAGUGGGGGAAUAGUUGGACGAAGUGGGCGACAAGCCUGAUCCAGACCAUACCGCGUGGGUGAAGGAACGGUCCUUACGGGUUGUAAACGUCCCGUUUUAGGUAGGGAAAG